rnacentral:misc_RNA from 1 species
UCCGAGUUGACCCCGGCAGUCUUCGAUGAGUCCCCGCCAUAACGCGCUGGCAACAUCGAACGAGGGUUGCGCUCGUUGCGGGACUUAACCCAACAUCUCACGACACGAGCUGACGACAGCCAUGCAGCACCUGUGCACGGACUCCGAAGAGGGGCCGAUGUUUCCACCGGCUUUCCCGUGCAUGUCAAGCCCAGGUAAGGUUCUUCGCGUCGCAUCGAAUUAAACAACAUGCUCCGCUGCUUGUGCGGGUCCCCGUCAAUUCCUUUGAGUUUUAGCCUUGCGGCCGUACUCCCCAGGCGGGGUGCUUAAUGCGUUAGCUUCGGCACGGACGGAGUCGACACCGCCCACACCUAGCACCCAUCGUUUACGGCGUGGACUAC